UUUUCCUUUUGCGAACAUUAUCGAGACCAUAUCUAUCUAUAAGACGAACCAGAUAUUUUAGGUUAGACUUAUCCACUCCAAACUGAUCAGUGAUUUUCGACCAAGGAUAACCUGAUUGUCGUAAAUGAUAAAUGUCUACUUUAUCCUCAUAACUUAAUUUCAUAAGAAAAACACCC
rnacentral:ncRNA from 1 species